AUCUCUCAUCACGUUCAAAACUAUUUUAGGGCAAAAUAUCCUUUACCUUUGCGAAUAGAGAAUGCAGAAGAAGAAUCAAUGGACUAUAGCAUCUGUAGAUGUGGAUUGGGAUGCCUUAUGAGAAUUUCAUGGACUGAAUGAAAUCAAGGAAGGCGUUUCGUGGCCUGUGAAAUUCGCUCGGUGGAUCAUAGUCGGGGAUGUGAUUAUUUUCAGUGGAUGGACCUGAUCAUGGGAGAUACAGCAUCGAAAAUUAUACCAUGCCUAUUAAGGAGCAAGAACGAGUUAGAAGAGCAAUUGUAGAUAAAUUGGAGGCAGGAGAAGCUGCUUUGGCUGUGGGUGGUCAUCUCAUUGCUCAUUAUUAUUUUCAAUUGACUUCACUUAUAAUAGUUUAUAGUAAUGAUCAUGGGAGGCGAUGAGAGGUGUUAAUUUGGUGAUGAUUUUUUAUCGGUGAACUAAUGUAGUUGAAAUUAAGAUAGGCGAUGUUUAUUGUAGGAUUUCAAGGAAGUCUCACCGUGAUUCUCAUAUUUGUCUUUUGUAAUGAAUUUUGAUGGAAUGAAAAAGAAAACAAAUUCUGAAA